rnacentral:rRNA from 1 species
AAUCAUUCAGUUACAUUAUUUUUAUGUUGUGACCAUCUGAGCUCCAGAUUGGGACAGAGGGAACAGCAUAAUUUUUUGUGAUGCAUUUACUUGAUUGGUGCUUGGGGAUGUUUGAGGCAGAUUUGUUUCCGUCGUUUUGAGGCCAGCUUGCUGGUACCCAAACGGUGUUAGCAUUUUUUGUCUUGGGCAUUUGAGUAUGGCUCACGGGCAUUUAUUGGACAGAUCUGAGUGUAAGUUACGGUCGCAUGCGACACGUGCUUUUCAAUUAGUUCGGUCCAGUUAAUGCUCUCGUACUCGUUCCCCAUGUAAAAGCCGGUCAUCUAUCCGACCCGUCUUGAAACACGGACCAAGGAGUUUAUCGUGUGCGCAAGUUUUUGGGUGUUAAAAACUUAAAAGCGAAAUGAAAGUAAAUGACUCUUUAGAGUCUGAUGUGCGAUCUUGUAAAAAAGUGCAGCAUGGCCCCAUUCUAACUGUUUACAGUAGGGUGGCGGAAGAGCGUACGCGGUGAGACCCGAAAGAUGGUGAACUAUUCCUGAGCAGGACGAAGCCAGAGGAAACUCUGGUGGAAGUCCGAAGCGGUUCUGACGUGCAAAUCGAUCGUCUGACUUGGGUAUAGGGGCGAAAGACUAAUCGAACCAUC